AAGCCAGACUCCUACGGGAGGCAGCAGUGGGGGAUAUUGCACAAUGGGGGAAACCCUGAUGCAGCGACGCCGCGUGGGUGAAGAAGCGCCUCGGCGCGUAAAGCCCUGUCAGCAGGGAAGAAAAUGACGGUACCUGAAGAAGAAGCCCCGGCUAACUACGUGCCAGCAGCCGCGGUAAUACGUAGGGGGCAAGCGUUAUCCGGAUUUACUGGGUGUAAAGGGGGCGCAGACGGCGAUGCAAGCCAGGAGUGAAAGCCCGGGGCCCAACCCCGGGACUGCUCUUGGAACUGCGUGGCUAGAGUGCAGGAGGGGCAGGCGGAAUUCCUGGUGUAGCGGUGAAAUGCGUAGAUAUCAGGAGGAACACCGGUGGCGAAGGCGGCCUGCUGGACUGCAACUGACGUUGAGGCCCGAAAGCGUGGGGAGCAAACAGGAUUAGAUACCCGCGUA
rnacentral:rRNA from 1 species